AGCAGCCGCGGUAAUUCCAGCUCCAAUAGCGUAUAUUAAAGUUGUUGCAGUUAAAAAGCUCGUAGUUGAAUUUCGGGAUCAAUACGUUGGUCAUGCUUUUUGGUACGAACUGGCGUCAUUGGUUUCUCCUUUCUGACGAACCAUGAUGUCAUUAAUUUGGUGUUAUGGGGAGUUGGGACUGUUAUUUUGAAAAAAUUAGAGUGUUUAAAGCAGGCAUAAGCUUGAAUACAUUAGCAUGGAAUAAUGAAAUAGGACGUUUGAUCCUAUUUUGUUGGUUUCUAGGAUCAACGUAAUGAUUAAUAGGGAUAGUUGGGGGCAUUAGUAUUCAAUUGUCAGAGGUGAAAUUCUUGGAUUUAUUGAAGACUAACUAUUGCGAAAGCAUUUGCCAAGGAUGUUUUCAUUAAUCAAGAACGAAAGUUAGGGGAUCGAAGACGAUCAGAUACCGUCGUAGUCUUAACCAUAAACUAUGCCGACUAGGGAUCGGAUGAUGUUAAUUUUUAAUGACUCAUUCGGCACCUUA
rnacentral:rRNA from 1 species